rnacentral:rRNA from 1 species
GACGAACCGUGCGAACGUUAUUCGGAAUCACUGGGCUUAAAGCGCGUGUAGGCGGGCCGGCACGUCCGCGGCUGAAAUCCCCCGGCUCAACCGGGGAAGGGGCCCGGAUACGACCGGCCUGGAGGGGGGUAGGGGGCGCCGGAACUCACGGUGGAGCGGUGAAAUGCGUUGAGAUCGUGAGGAACGCCCGUGGCGAAAGCGGGCGCCUGGACCCCGCCUGACGCUGAGACGCGAAAGCCAGGGGAGCGAACGGG